UACGAUAUGUUGAUGAAGACAAGUAGGUUUUGCCCGACCGGUUACAGAGAGAUGACGGUGCUGUGAGUCAUUACCGGAUCAAAGCUGAAUUUCACUUCGGAGUAUCAAUAUAUGCGAUGAGCGCCGGCUUAAGCCGGAACUCGGGUGGUACCGCGGUAAAUCCGUCCCGAAC
rnacentral:ncRNA from 1 species